GGGGACGUAGUGUAACGGGAGCACACCGCGGUCGCAUCGCGGGAAUGAGGGUUCGAUUCCCUUCGUCUCCA
rnacentral:tRNA from 1 species